rnacentral:lncRNA from 1 species
GGUUUAGGGGUAAACUCCACUGACCUCAUAGAUGGCUUGUCAGAAUUCUGCAGCAUUGUACGUUCGGAAUACAUCCGUGACGUCUCCCCCAGCUGUCUCCUUCUGCAGUACACCGUGGGAGGUGGAGGAGAAAGCAGGCGCAAAUGGAGACCAGGCUUCACCUCCCUUUGACAAGACCGGCCAGUGAUGCGUGAGACUUUGAUUCAGAGGCAGUGGCAUCUGCAGUCCUGCAGUUUCAUGAUUAGACCUACAAAUUCAGUGUCAGCAAACUGUCCUUAGAUCCCUUCUCUGGAUCUCUGUGAAGACGACCUGCUUCUCUGAGAUUCUACCUGCUCAAAGCUAAGAGACUACAACAGGAAGCGCCAGGGCUGAUGAAGAUCCUCCCAUUGCCUUUCCAAUGUUAUAGCUUCCAUUUGGUACAGAACCACCGUUUCACACAAACGAGACUACAGAUACCAGGGAUCCAACUUGGAACCUUUCACUUGAGAGGCAAGUGCCAGAACCACUGAGCUAAAUCCCAGCCCUCAGAAAAGAACCUGCUGAAGACAAAGGGUUGUUUUACAGUCAUUCAGCCUCGCUCGCCAGAGGCCUCUGAGCUGCGUGUUGUUCUGCCAUGGAGCCACUG